ensembl:snRNA U6 U6 spliceosomal RNA
GUGCUCACUUCUGUAGCACAUAUGCUAAAAUUGGAAUGAUACAGGGAAGAUUAGCCUGGCCUCUGCACAAGGAUGACAUGCAAAUUUCUGAAGCGUUCCAUAUUAAA